UGAGUAACACGUAGGCAACCUGCCCUCAAGUUUGGGACAACUACCGGAAACGGUAGCUAAUACCGAAUAGUUGUUUUCUUCGCCUGAAGGAAACUGGAAAGACGGAGCAAUCUGUCACUUGGGGAUGGGCCUGCGGCGCAUUAGCUAGUUGGUGGGGUAACGGCUCACCAAGGCGACGAUGCGUAGCCGACCUGAGAGGGUGAUCGGCCACACUGGGACUGAGACACGGCCCAGACUCCUACGGGAGGCAGCAGUAGGGAAUCUUCCGCAAUGGGCGAAAGCCUGACGGAGCAAUGCCGCGUGAGUGAUGAAGGUUUUCGGAUCGUAAAGCUCUGUUGCCAGGGAAGAACGCUUGGGAGAGUAACUGCUCUCAAGGUGACGGUACCUGAGAAGAAAGCCCCGGCUAACUACGUGCCAGCAGCCGCGGUAAUACGUAGGGGGCAAGCGUUGUCCGGAAUUAUUGGGCGUAAAGCGCGCGCAGGCGGUCAUUUAAGUCUGGUGUUUAAUCCCGGGGCUCAACCCCGGAUCGCACUGGAAACUGGGUGACUUGAGUGCAGAAGAGGAGAGUGGAAUUCCACGUGUAGCGGUGAAAUGCGUAGA
rnacentral:rRNA from 1 species